rnacentral:lncRNA from 1 species
GACCCUUGACUUCCUGGGCUCCAUGAAUAAUUACUGUGGUUUCUGGCAGGAACUCCCUGUCUUCCCACCACCCAGCCCGCCACCCUUGUCCUCUCCCUCUUCCAGGAAGCCUGCUUGUUCCUUCUGCUCUCUCCAGCCUGUGCUCUCAAGCACCACUCGCAGGCCUCGCCAGCUGAUUUUCUGGGUCUUCUCUGCCCUUCCUUAGAGAGUGCAUUUCUUUGGUCCUGCAUGUCUUGUUCACUCCAGUUUUCUCACUUGGCUCCUCACAGCCCAUCCCAGAGACCACACAUCCACUUAGCCUUACGUAAGCAAAGCUGGGUUCAGCAUCACCCAGCAAUGCCACACACACCUCCUGACGAGGCUGGCCUGCUCCUACCUUGGAAAGCCACCAUUUCCUUCCCCCGUGAAAUGCAAAAUGCCAAAUUUACUCUAGGAAAGUAAAAUUAGUUUGUGGUCAUGGGGGUUGUUUGCCCCUCCGUUUGUGGCCUG